GUGUAGGUUGUUGGCGAAUCCUCUGGAACUUGCGCAUUCCGCUUCGCCCUCGCCCCACCACCGAGCCAGGCGCUGCUGACAUCUUCCACCCUCCCAUUCCCUCCUCGCCGCAAUUCCAUUCGAUCCCACCAGUCCACCACCCAUCUCGCCAUUGUCCCGGCUUCGAAGCAAAACCCGCCCGUCUCGGCUGUCUCUUCCCGACCGCACAAGGAAGAGGGGAAGGCGGUGGAUUAAUCUUGCCGCGCGGGUGUUGCCGUGCCCCCUCCCGCGCCUCCUGCGGCGUUCGGACUUCCUCUCUCUGGAUUCCUUCAGUUCGGAGCUAAUACUGCUUUAACUGGAUGCGGCUCUACUCACCUGCACUCUGUUUGUGGCGAUCAAGCAUGCAUUACUAUCCUAAUCAGUUCCAAGGAGGCUUCACACACAAUAUGGCCUUGUGGAAAUGCUCGCACUCGCCGUCAAGCGUUUACCAUGUGAAAUCUUCUCAACCACAAAGUAUAAAGUACUUUGUAAGCUUGAUGGGCCAACAAUUCCGUUGUGGACUGUCAACCAGAGAGGGUAGUCUCAGCAUAAAGCUUGACAUGCCUUCAUAUGAAAAGUCGAGGAUCGGCUGGAACUGGAAAGGUAUGCAUCAGAAGCUUGGAGGUGUAGCUGGAGGACUUUGCUUUGGUUUUUCGGUUACUGGACUAGCAAGCGCUGAGGUUCCUAUCAUUAGAAUCAACGAUAAUGCCGAAACUUCAUCAUCAGCUACCGGUUCAACUCAUGGGAAGAAAGUAUACACAGACUAUUCUGUCACUGGUAUUACUGGAGAUGGUAGAUGUUUAUUCCGCUCUGUGAUUCAUGGUGCAUGUAUUAGAUCAGGGAAACCCAUACCUAAUGAAGACCUUCAGAGAAAACUAGCUGAUGAUUUGAGGGCGAUGGUCGCUGAUGAAUUUGUGAAGAGACGUGAAGAGACUGAAUGGUUCGUUGAGGGAGAUUUUGAUACAUAUGUAUCGCAUAUUAGGAAGCCACAUGUGUGGGGAGGCGAGCCAGAAUUGUUCAUGGCUUCCCAUGUUCUUCAGAUGCCAAUAACUGUUUACAUGCACGAUGAAGAUGCAGGUGGUCUGAUAGCAAUUGCAGAAUAUGGCCAGCAGUAUGGGAAAGAGGACCCAAUCCAGGUCUUGUAUCAUGGUUUUGGCCAUUAUGAUGCUCUACAGAUUCCAGCAAAGAUUGGUUCAAAGCGGAAACUGUAGAAAUUGUUGAGUGCAAAAUUGAAAAGGUAAGUCAUGGGGUGAUAUCUUUCCUGUUCUUCAUAUGUAAAUAGACAAUUACUAGAGCGCAAGAGCGAGGUGCUAACCCUGUUUCAGUGUUUAUAUCGCUUACUGAACAUUUCAAGCUAUAUGCACAUGUACAUAUGUGAAUGUGGAAGAUGGCUUUGAUUAGAACUUGAAAUGGCAUCAUCUCACCAAGCAGAAACGCUGUUGCAUGAUUCAAUACUUCCCCAAUGCUUGAUGAAUUAGGAACAGAGCAUCACUUAUACAGAAAUGCGUACUAUAUUCUGUCUGAAUUUCUGUAUUGAAUGUCUGAAUUUCUACCGUAGAAAUUCUUUUUUCCACGUAGUCUAGUAUGCCCUAAACCUGAAAACUGAACUCGUCGUUCUGUAACUGGUUGUACAUCAGAAGUCAUUACUCAGGACAGGCCCCCCGUCAUAUUGUACUCUAGUCAGCAUGUACCUGUACGUACGCGAGCGGGGGGACCCAAGAACGGAUGCUUUGAUUUUCAGCAAUGCCAGUAUCUGCUUUGAAUGAGCAUGUGAAGAACACCUCAGUCUCAGACAACGAGUCGGCCUGGGGUUGAAUUGGCAACAAACCCUGUGUGAUCCUCAAGCUCGAUGAUAGACAAAAACUAUUGAGGCAAGGCUGCAGAAGGGUCUGGUUUGCUGGAACGGCGGCUUCACCUUCAGAAGAGGUUCAUCAGAUGGACAUGCUACAUGGUGGGUGCAUCUGCUCGCUAUGAAACGGAGCUGCUGAAAGGACAGAGCAGGUUGCCCGAAGUGCAGCUGUGAAGCAACGCCCGGCAUGGCAACAUCCCUAGUAGUCGGUAGAGAAGAGAGAGAGAGAGGUGACCGAGUCCUGAUCCUUGUUUCUGAAACGUCCUCGCGCUGACAGUAGGCUCGCUCUGUGUAACAAGGAACUGCUUACCAGUACGCUAUGGCGGAGUAUUUCCGGCCUGUGA